rnacentral:tRNA from 1 species
GGGCGGCUGGCCUAAUGGUAAGGCGUCUGAUUUCGGCGAGCGAAAGCUCAAGACCUCAGAAGAUUGCAGGUUCGAUCCCUGCGUCGCUCA